ensembl:misc_RNA Y_RNA Y RNA
CGCUGGUCUGAGUGCAGUGGUGUUUACAACGAAUUGAUCACAACCAGUUACAGAUUCCUUUGCUCCCUCUCCACUCCCACUGCUUCACUUGACUAGCUUUUU